rnacentral:rRNA from 1 species
AUGGAGGUGAUCCCUUAUUUUUUCGUUUGGAGGCUGUUGUGGACUUGUGAUGGUGCCACAGACAGGUGCUCUUGGCCCCUCCCCUCCCCUCAUGCUGCUGAUGUUUUUGGCCCCUCCCCUCCCCUCCCCUCCCCUCAUGUCGCUGCUACUUUUGGUACACAGGUCAACCCCUUUUCUCCUCCUCCUUUCCAGUCCUCUUGUCUGAUGCUUAUGUGGGGCUCCAGUAGUUUUUUGGACGUGUUGGCUGGUGAAGGUGAUGAGAUGGAUUGUGCAUGGGCUCUGUUCUUGGAAAUUGUCUGCCUGAAUGGAUUGGUUAGCCCAAGCUCUUCCUGGUUUGUUGCUGUCGUCGUUUCUUCUGUUCCUUCACCGUUUCGGUCGUCCUAUCGUGUGUUGCUGCUUCAAGAGACUGCAUCGUUCAUGCUUCUGGUUGGUUUUCAUUCGAUAUAUUUAGAAGCCACAACUGACUUUGAAAGCAUAGCCUUUCCAGGGUUCUUAUGUUUACGACAUCAACAGAAUAAGUAUCUAGAUUCUCUAGCAGGACUGUGGAGUACAAAUUUAGGUGGUAGUGAGCCUCGAUUAGUCAAAGCUGCAACUGACCAAUUAAACAAGUUACCCUUCUAUCACUCCUUCUGGAACCGUACAACCAAACCAACAUUGGGGGGUGGAUCUCAAGGGGAGAGGUGCUGUCCUCCAGAGCUGUUGGAUCCUAAAAUAAAGCUCGCCUCCGCGCAUGAGGAAGGCGAUGCCAUUAUGCCUAGGCUACCAUGGAGCCGAACAAGGAUGUUGUUCAGCCUGUCACCUAACACCAUCAAGGAUGUGGUCUUUUAUGCUCAUUGUAUGCAGGAGGAGGAGCGUGGCCGAAAGACGGCGGCCAGUCCGACCAUGUGCUCACUUCACCCCCUUCUCCCUUCCAAUUUUGGAUUUGAUCUGGACGCCGCCGUCGCCAUGGUUGCCUCGCCGUCGUGGCUCAGGUGCCCAUUGUGA